GACGAACGCUGGCGGCGUGCUUAACACAUGCAAGUCGAACGGAAAGGCCCUGCUUUUGUGGGGUGCUCGAGUGGCGAACGGGUGAGUAACACGUGAGUAACCUGCCCUUGACUUUGGGAUAACUUCAGGAAACUGGGGCUAAUACCGGAUAGGAGCUCCUGCUGCAUGGUGGGGGUUGGAAAGUUUCGGCGGUUGGGGAUGGACUCGCGGCUUAUCAGCUUGUUGGUGGGGUAGUGGCUUACCAAGGCUUUGACGGGUAGCCGGCCUGAGAGGGUGACCGGCCACAUUGGGACUGAGAUACGGCCCAGACUCCUACGGGAGGCAGCAGUGGGGAAUAUUGCACAAUGGGCGGAAGCCUGAUGCAGCAACGCCGCGUGCGGGAUGACGGCCUUCGGGUUGUAAACCGCUUUCGCCUGUGACGAAGCGUGAGUGACGGUAAUGUGUAAAGAAGCACCGGCUAACUACGUG
rnacentral:rRNA from 1 species